UGGGGAAUUUUGGACAAUGGGCGAAAGCCUGAUCCAGCAAUGCCGCGUGUGUGAAGAAGGCCUUCGGGUUGUAAAGCACUUUUGUCCGGAAAGAAAUCCUUGGCUCUAAUACAGUCGGGGGAUGACGGUACCGGAAGAAUAAGCACCGGCUAACUACGUGCCAGCAGCCGCGGUAAUACGUAGGGUGCAAGCGUUAAUCGGAAUUACUGGGCGUAAAGCGUGCGCAGGCGGUUUGCUAAGACCGAUGUGAAAUCCCCGGGCUCAACCUGGGAACUGCAUUGGUGACUGGCAGGCUAGAGUAUGGCAGAGGGGGGUAGAAUUCCACGUGUAGCAGUGAAAUGCGUAGAGAUGUGGAGGAAUACCGAUGGCGAAGGCAGCCCCUGGGCCAAUACUGACGCUCAUGCACGAAAAGCGUGGGGAGCAAAACAGGAUUAGAUACCCUGGUAGUCCACGCCCUAAACGAUGUCAACUAGUUGUUGGGGAUUCAUUUCCUUAGUAACUAGCUAAACGCGUGAAGUUGACCGCCUGGGGGAGUACGGUCGCAAGAUUAAAACUCAAAUGAAUUGACGGGGUCAUAGCUG
rnacentral:rRNA from 1 species